rnacentral:rRNA from 1 species
AAUCAACGCUGGCGGCGUGCCUACAGACAUGCAAGUCGAACGAUUAAAGCUCCCUUCGGGGAGUGCAUAGAGUGGCGCACGGGUGAGUAACACGUAAGUAAUCUACCUUACGAGUGGGGAAAUAACGUACCGGAAAACGGACGCUAAUACCGCAUAAUGCAGCGGCAUCGCAAGAUGACAGUUGUUAAAGAUUUAUCGCUUGAAGAGGAGCUUGCGGCAGAUUAGCUAGUUGGUAAGGUAAUGGCUUACC